rnacentral:misc_RNA from 1 species
GAUGAAGAACGUAGCGAAAUGCGAUAAGUAAUGUGAAUUGCAGAAUUCAGUGAAUCAUCGAAUCUUUGAACGCACCUUGCGCCUUUUGGUAUUCCGAAAGGCACACCUGUUUGAGCGUCAUGAAUACCUCAAUCUCCAUCUUUUCUUCGGAUUGAUGGGUGACUUGGAUGUUGAGCCCUGCUGGUAUGCUAUAUCAGCUGGCUUUAAACUUAUUAGCCGGCUCUGUACUGGAUCGGUUUGACUCGACGUGAUAAUAUUAUCGUUGAGGAUGCAUGUCUCAUGCAGCCGGAAAGUAUCAAAGCAGAUUCGAGCUUGCCUUUAGUGCACUUUUACAUUUUAGACCUCAGAUCAGGUGGGACUACCCGCUGAACUUAAGCAUAUCAAUAAGCGGAGGA